AGACUUUGAUAGUCAUGAGCCGAGGGCCAGACUGCGAUAAUACUGAGCUGGGGAUAAGCUUGGUGCUAUAUCUUCUUCUUAGUUUUCUUGUUUCUUUUGUCUUAAUGUUGAUUCUAGGGAAGAAAAUCGAUUUAAUGAAUUAAUGUUUGAUUUCCAAAGUUGUUUAUGGAUCACUCUUUAUCAAUUAUUGUGAAAGAUUGAGGACGUAUGGAAGUUUCCAGUCACUGUUUAUCGCAAGGUUGUAAGUUCAGUAGAGAAGAAUUGUAAUCAAAGGAAUUAUCUUGAUUAGAUUCUGUGGAUUGGAAGUUGUUCGUUCCAGGAUUUGGGUUGUGCUUGUGUGUUCAUGAAUUACACAGGGUACUGAAAUCGUUGUCGUGGAUGUUAUUGUAUUGAUAUGAGAGAGUGGACAAUAGGAGGAAAAGUUAAGUGUUCUUCGGUAUGGUAAGCAUUCAGCAGUAGCAGUUAGUUGCGUGACCCUAACAAUUAGAGCUCAUAUACAUG
rnacentral:lncRNA from 1 species